rnacentral:rRNA from 1 species
AACGGAUAUCUCGGCUCUCGCAUCGAUGAAGAACGUAGCGAAAUGCGAUACUUGGCGUGAAUUGCAGAAUCCCGUGAACCAUCGAGUCUUUGAACGCAAGUUGCGCCCAAAGCCAUUAGGCCGAGGGCACGUCUGCCUGGGCGUCACACA